GCGCAGCAGGCGCGAAACUUUACAAUGUGCGAAAGCACGAUAAGGGAACUCUGAGUGCCUCCUAAGGAGGCUGUUCAGGUGUCUAAAAGCACCUGAAGGAAGGGCUGGGUAAGACCGGUGCCAGCCGCCGCGGUAACACCGGCAGCCCAAGUGGUAGCCACGUUUAUUGGGUCUAAAGCGUCCGUAGCCGGCUGGGUAAGUUCCUUGGGAAAUUUGGCUGCUUAACAGUCAAGCUUUCAGGGAAUACUGCCCGGCUUGGGACCGGGAGAGGUCAGAGGUACUCCAGGGGUAGGGGUGAAAUCCAUUAAUCCUUGGGGGACCACCGGUAGCGAAGGCGUCUGACCAGACCGGGUCCGACGGUGAGGGACGAAGGCUAGGGGCGCGAACCGGAUUAGAUA
rnacentral:rRNA from 1 species